ensembl:lncRNA novel transcript
UACUUAGACAGACUAUGAAGAGAUACAUAGGGUGAGAAACGGAGGCCUUCAGCCAACAGCUGGGAGAAGCUGAGUCCCAUCAGCCAUUCAAAAGACUGCAGCCCCAGCCAAGAGUUUGAUGUAACCUCAGGAGAGACCCUGAGCCAGAACCACCUAGGAGAUGAUGAGCUCCUGGGCAAGACUGAGGUUUGUGUCAUUUUGCAUCCCCAGCACCGAGAAGAGUACCUGGCACUUAUUGGUGCGCAGACAAUGUUUACUGCAUGAUUAGAAGGUUUAACUGGAAAAACCUACUAACCUCUGGCCAACGAGCUAUACCUAGUGAUUCCAAAGUCCACAUAUAUUUACUCUGUUCUCACUGUACAAAGUAACCACUCUGAAGUCAAAAAAGCUGGGAUACAUGAAGACUGCCAUCCCUUGAGUCACUUGCCCUGUAGCUGCCACUGUUGGAAAAGGGCUUGCUUCUGUGUCCUUGUGCCCACUUUGAAAAUCCCUGGGAAGUCCUUGGAGUCAGAUGAGCAGGCCUCCGCCACUCUGCCAAAAAGUCUGUUCAAUCAGGAGUCCCCAACCCCUGAGCCAUGGACUGAUAUGGAGCUAUGGUCUGUUAGGAACUGGGCUGCCCAGGAGGAGCAAUGGUGCUUCUACAAUUUCCUUAUAGGAGGAGUGAAGAGUAAGCAUUUGGAUUGGACCAGGAUUUGGAGAACUUGUCAUGUUGCUCUACGUGCAUAUGAAAUACAUCAUUGUAACUUAGAAUGUGAAUUACAGAACAAACAUGAAAGUUAGAAAAAUAUUCUAAACAUAUUUUUAUGAUCUCUACUUGCAAUAAGGAAACUGUUAGGCUUUUCCAUCAAAGAAUAAGUGCAACAAAAACAAAAAUUUCUGGAUGGAAAAAAGGAGAUUUGAGGGGCAAGGCUAAAGCCCCCCAAACCUUCCUCAGGAUGAACACAAACCCCAUCUUUAUUUUCCUGUUGCCACUGUUCCAUGUUGCUGGGCUCUAUUCCAGCAAAAUUUUGGAAAGCGUUGCUACAGUUCUGCUCAUUUCUUUCUCACUUCAGAACAAUGAUGCCCUUUCCAGAUAAAGCAUCUUAAUUAAACAGAUGACAUUUGAA